GGUGACCAACCAUCCCGGUUUGCCUGGGACUGAGGGCAGGUUCUUGGGACACAGAACUUUCAGUGCUACAACUGGAAAGUC
rnacentral:miRNA from 1 species